GAGUUUGAUCAUGGCUCAGAACGAACGCUGGCGGCAGGCCUCAAACAUGCAAGUCUAGGGGGUGUAGCAAUACAUCACCGGCGGACGGGUGCGUAACGCGUGGGAAUGUACCUAUUGGUUCGGAACAACUGAGGGGAACUUCAGCUAAUACCGAAUGUGCCCGCAAGGGGAAAGAUUUAUCGCCAAUGGAUCAGCCCGCGUUCGAUUAGCUAGUUGGUGAGGUAAUGGCUCACCAAGGCGACGAUCGAUAGCUGUUCUGAGAGGAAGAUCAGCCACACUGGGACUGAGACACGGCCCAGACUCCUACGGGAGGCAGCAGUUGGGAAUCUUGGACAAUGGGGGAAACCCUGAUCCAGCCAUGCCGCGUGAGUGAUGAAGGCCUUCGGGUUGUAAAACUCUUUCGCGCACGACGAUAAUGACGGUAGUGCGAGAAGAAGCUCCGGCUAACUUCGUGCCAGCAGCCGCGGUAAUACG
rnacentral:rRNA from 1 species